CUACGGGCCGCACCAGUGAGGAAUAUUGCACAAUGGGGGAAACCCUGAUGCAGCAACGCCGCGUGGAGGAUGACGCAUUUCGGUGUGUAAACUCCUUUUAUAUGUCAAGAAAAUGACGGUAGCAUAUGAAUAAGCACCGGCUAACUCCGUGCCAGCAGCCGCGGUAAUACGGAGGGUGCAAGCGUUACUCGGAAUCACUGGGCGUAAAGGACGCGUAGGCUGGUUGGUAAGUCAGGUGUGAAAUCCUACAGCUUAACUGUAGAACUGCACUUGAAACUACCAACCUAGAGUAUGGGAGGGGGAGAUGGAAUUAGUGGUGUAGGGGUAAAAUCCGUAGAUAUCACUAGGAAUACCGAGAGCGAAGGCGAUCUCCUGGAACAUAACUGACGCUAAGGCGUGAAAGCGUGGGGAGCAAACAGGAUUAGAUACCCUAGUAGUC
rnacentral:rRNA from 1 species